rnacentral:lncRNA from 1 species
AUAUGAUUUACUCCUGAAAAUUCAGCCCUCAAGCAAGACAUUAUCAACAUGGAAGUAGAUACCAAGAUGAUAAGACCGUUCACAACCCCACGGUUGAAUAAUUAUGAAGUAAUAUCAAGGAAUCGAAAGCUUACCUGUCAUAUCUGCCAAAAGGAUCUCACUUAUGUUGCCAGUUAUUACAACCAUCUCUCCAGACAUCAUACCAAGGCUGAUCUGUCGCUAUGUAUCUUGGAACUAUCAAAAUUAUUGGCCCCAAAAGCAAGCAUCUCAACCACUUCUAGUGUCUCCUUAGAAAGUGUCGGAGGUACUUUUGUCUGUAACAACACUCCUGAAGUUGAUGAUAAAAUCACUAUCGAUAGUCAAACACAGCCCACUGAAUUGUCAUCUUCGGAUAGAAAGAAUGACUCAGAAAGUCUCAGCUCAAACUUAAACCUGACUUCAUCUAGUUCAUGCAAGGUUCACCAUUCCUCAAGUCAGUUGAAUUUGCUGACUGAAAAUCGCAUUGAGCUUGAAGGCAGUAAGAAAAAUUCAGCUCAAAGUUCUACAAGUCUGAAAGAACUCAGCAGUAUUCCAAAAGAAAAUGGCUCAGAAAUUUCUGCCACAAAUUUGUGUGAGCCAAAAUCUGCCAAUGAGGAACAAAUUUCGUUCUGUAGCAAUUUGGGAUUGGGACAACUCAAAGUGUCUGAUGAGCCUAACAGUUCCACCAAUCAGCCUGCCGAUAAUCCUGGACGAAAAGAUGUCGAUUCUACAAAGAAAGAUACAUAUGAUUCUAAGCUAUCAACCAAUUUUAUUGUACCUGACAAGUUUUCUGCAGAAGAACCUGUAGCGAAAGAUGAUUGUAUUUUCGAGCCCAUGUUGUCACCACUCAUAGAAAAACUUAUUAGCUCUGAGCCUAUUUCAGCAAAGGAUGCAUUGCCAGAAGUUGCUACAGAACUAAACCUGUCCAAUCUCUUGAAAACCUCCGCAUGGGCUGAGGCAAAAGCUAGGAGCCCUGCAGGAACCACUGUGCCGAGCUCGAAGAGAAAGUUUUCAGAUGAAGGUGGAUCAAGACUCUCAACCUCCGUAAGUAAGUUAUACUCAAGGGUUUUUGAAAGAAUAAAAAAGAAACCAAAGUUAAUUCCAGUCAAAACCAAAAUGACUUUCAAGGUGUCUCCAAGAUGUGAUUCAACUCCUAAUUCCGUUGCAACUAGUGUGUCGGAAUCAUCCAGUGGAACUUCUAGCAGCUUAGUUGAAGCGAGUACUCACAACACUGUUCGUGAACAGUGUGGCACCUUGAAUCUUUGCAGCCAGCCUCAUGCUUCACACCGUGACCUUCAGACAUCGGAGGGUGCUUGUAUUAACUCUCUGCAGUCGGAUCAUAUUUAUUGUAACGGCAGAUCGGGGGAUGAUUUUGAGCAUUGUCUUUCAGACAGCUCAAAAAAGGGAUCAAAGUCCAGGAGUGGUUCAGAUCCACAGCUGCCAGGUGAAGCUAAUGAUAUUAAGAACAACAGAUUGCUGUCUCAGGUCUCCACUGAAGUAGAAAUGAUAAGGAUUGGAAAGAAUCUCUCCACGCAGAGAGAAGGAAGUUCAAAAAUGGGAAGUUGUUGUGAUGACAUUCAGUCAGUCGAAUAUUCCAGUGAAAUGCUCAGUCCAAUCGAAAAAAUUCAUAAGAAUCAAACUUUAGUUAAAAGUCCUCAGGGCGGAGAUCCAAUCGAUCUUACCAAAGCAAUAAGUAAUGGGUCUUUAUCGGACAGUGUCUCCAAAACCCCAGAAGAGGACAACGCACUCCGAGUUGUCAAUAAGUACGUGCGUUUAAAUAGUAAACAUGAGCUGCUGCGAAACUUAAAAACUGAUCCGCCAUCUUCAACCAACAAAAUCAAUGAAAUAUUACCAGGCGGUGAGGCUCACGAAGCAGCAGAGAUCCCUUCCAACAACCAUGAUGAAAUAAAAGCGCCUGAUGAAAAUAAACCAUGUUCUGAUUCUCAAAGCUCCACGACCGGAAUCAGUCUGCUCAAAACAAGUGAAAAAAGUGCUGAAAAAUUUGAUGUUGCUGAAGGUGCAGUUUUGAAAACUAAUCGCGAACUCAGUAUCGGAAAACCUUCAACAACAUCACGUUCUCCUCAGUUUGUUGAUUCAAAUGGUGUCGUGUGGGGGAUUGUGGAAAUUGACACUGGUACUUAUCCUCUUAAAGUUUUGAAACCCAUCAAAAUUCCGGACAACAGGAAAACCGACAGUUCGGCUCAAGAAAAUAUCACAACUCACAAGGCUGGUUCCAUGAAACGGAAAAGCAAAACCCGAGAAAAAAUAAACCCCCUUUGAAACCAGUGGCUCUAGAGCAGAAGAUGAAAAUGAAAAAUCCUGCUUUCAGAAAUGAUGGAAACUCCUGUAUCGAAAUGGAGUCUACCAGGAUGGAUAACAACAAACUAGAAGAGCAGUUGAGUGAUCGUUCCGAAAUCAGCAACCGAACAUCCAGCGUUCCUUUCAGAAAUGGAGAUUCUCAUUGCAAAUCAAAUGAGCCCCGCUCCAAAAUUGCCCCCAAAGGAAAAAGUCUUAUUGAAUCAAGUUGCACUGAUUUAGUGUCUUCCACGAUGAUCACAACUGAAGAAACUGACCCAGUCUCUGAAGAGGAAACAGAUAACUCUCGUUGCACUUGUCUUAAGAGUAAAGGAAUAGAACGGAAUAGCUCCAUUGCAUCUGUCUCAGAUACCAAAACUUGUGAAAUGAGAAAACAGUGCAUGAACUCGAAUCCUGAUGGACCAAUUGUAGUACAAGCCAUCAGUGAUACGUGCCAUUUAAGUCUUAAAAAUUCAUGUUGUUCCGCAAAUAGAAGCUGUGUUGCCCCAUCGGAAAAAUAUUACAUGUGUAGUCAUUGCCUUAAAGAGUUUUCGCGGAAAAGUCAUCUAAUUCGCCAUCAUCGCUCACACUUUGAUGAAAGACCUUUUGAGUGUGAUACCUGUCAUAAAAAAUUCACUACCAAAGCCAUCUUGAAACAGCAUGAAAGGCUACACAGCGGUGAAAGGCCGUUCGCUUGCUCUUUUUGUAAUAAGACGUUCUCGCAGAAAUCGAGUCUUCUAACCCAUACCAUGCUCCACAGUGGGAAACCUUUUAAGUGCUUCUUUUGUCGUUUAGCUGUUGUUUCCAAUCACAAGUUGCAACGACACCUGAGGAGGCAUGAAAUAAGUGACAGUGGACUUUUCUGUUGUGCGUGUGAUUCUCAGUUUACAAUGGAAAGCACUUUCAGAGAACAUUUGGCCAAGGUUCAUAAUUAUCCACCAGAGUUCAGAAUUGUGAAAGUGGGAAACAUACUUGAGGAAGAGAAGAAGAGGAAGAGGAAGAUUAAUAAAAAGCUACUGAUCACAUAAAUAAGUUCAUUAAAAUCUGAAGUAGUUCAUCCUUUUAAGAAAUGUGUAUGGAAAUGAAACUCGUGAAGAAAUCUCUAAUUUUAUGAAGGAACAAUUUUUUAUGAAGCUGUAACUAAUUUUUCCCCCCUUCGAGUUUUGCUUUAGUUCAACCUUUCUCAGACUGGCCCUCAGGUGAUUUACUCAUGAUGAUCAUUGAAUACAUGUAACAACCACCUUUCGAACUAUGCUUUUUUUCUUUCCUCCCAUUUUUCCCGAGAUAUGGACCAUUUUGUUUUUCUAGCUGUAGAUGAAUUUUUUCUUUACUUGUUUUAUCUGGCUAAUACAUGCUAUGCCUUAGUUAAUUCACCUUAAUAUUUUACCUCGUCACUCAAAAGGGUAUUAAGUAUGAGCAACCAUAGGAGAUUAUUUCUCUCUUGCAACGUGCACAGAAUGAACUUCUUCAAGUGUAUCUCACAGUGGAAACGUUUCAAAAGAUCUUUGUUUAUUCCUGAAUCAGAACCCAAAAAAAUUCUUUUUCCGAAAAAAAUGCAAGAACAAAGUUCUGAGAGUGCAAAGUUCAAUAGCCAUUUAAAAACUACUCUUACCCACUCACAAUAUCAUCAUUUUACAACAGGAAGCCACCAUUUUUUACUUUUUCGUAACAGCACAAAAUUUUAUAGGGAACCAAUGGCACCAAUGUUGUUUCUAAAAUGAGGUAGGAAUUCUACCGUGCUGAGGAAAAACGCUUUAUGAACUUUCGAAAGAUACCAAAUUUCCCUUGAUAAAAAAUUUAUUUGAGAAGAGAGUCAUGCGUAUUUUUUUUUAAAUUUUAAAUUGCGAACAAGAUUGACUGAAAAAUUGGAAGAAAAAUGUUUACGUUCUUCCAAAUAAAGUUGUAUUUUAUCAAAGAAAAUUUGGCAACAUCUGUAGGUUUGUAUGGCAGUUUUCCGUAGCACAGUUAAAUUGUGGUUCCAUGUAGCAUAAUUUGGUUCACAUGAAAUACGGAAAAUUGCUGCUCUCUGAAGGUUUCUUUGAAAGUUAUUAUUUCAGUCUGAAACGAAGAAAGUCAAAAUUUAUCUUAUUUCAUAAAUCUUGACCUACUAGCACUCAUUUUUUUUUUUCUUAGGGUUGCCAAUAUUGUAAAAACUACUGUCAGAAAAAGCACAUAUUUGACUGAUAACUUCUGUGAUAACUGCAUUGUAUAGUAAUCAAAUGUAUGUUAUGUUUGUGUUAUAAUUUAUUGUAUGUACUGCGCUUGACUUCUUGUUUAUCUGAAGUUCUGUCCUCAGAAUAUGGUUGCCCGAGAAACAAUGCCCCUCCAAGUGUAUUUUAAAAGGUUCAUGAAGAAGUGAGUGGUAAAAAUAUCGUUUCUUUGUCAUUCUGCGUUUGAAAUAGAACCAUUGCCAUCACAGCACUUUUGUGCAGAGUUCCGGCAUGUAAAAUGACAAUUGUGUAAUUUGUUUUAUUUUCCAAAUGCGUUACAAUUGAAUCAACGUAUGCGAAAACGUCCGAUGUCUAAGACAGUGUUUUAGAAUUUGAGUGGACAAUUUCGUCGUAACUUAAUGACACAAGAUGGUUUAAGACACUAGGAAUGAAGAACAAUAUUAUAAAUAAUCCCCUAAGUGUAAUUAAACGGUUACAAAAGAGAUCGAUCCUCUUCAUCAGUGUCGUGUGACAAAAGACACUCACCGCAAUUAUGAAACCCUGUAUCAGACAACGGACGUUUUUGCGUACGUCGACUCAAUUACUAUCUCGUUUUUACAGAGAACAUGUUUUAGCCAGUGUUGUGUAAUGAUAGUAAUCUUAACCAAGAGAUGCAUUUAUUAUUUCACCUCUCAUGUGAAUGUUCUCUGUAAUCUUUAUAGACUCAAAACCUUAUGAAAUAUCCACUACAACAUAUUUUCAGUAAUAAUUUUCUCAGCAAUGUCUUCUCAGCAUAAUUUGUAUGUAGGUUCUGUUCUAUGUUAGUAAAUAUUAGUCAUUUUGUCGAUUCGUAACAGUACACAGGAAAGCGACAUUAGUUUACAGCAACUCUGAAUCAAGUCAUUGUCACUUUAAAAAAGAAGAAUAAGUUAUCAACACAAGAGCACAGAGGAGUUUUCUACAAAUAUUCUACUGCUGAAGACCCUUAUCAAACUCAUCUAGAGUUAAGGCGAUUUGAAGGUAGCAGUAGAAAUAAAUAAAUUCACGAAAAGCUGUAUUAAACUCUAAUCUGCCCCGUUCAGGUUACUUUAUCACCGGAUCAUGAUGCAACGUAUGCCUGCCAGGGGUGCAAAAAUUAGCUAGACCUCUCGCAACUUACUCUUUUGGGCACUAGAAAGAGUUUUCAGUUAAAAUCUCAAUAUCUGAUUUUUCGACCCAAUUAAUAAAUGGGUAGUUUUUGAUGUUGCUAAAGUUGUAUUUAAGUUCUCUGCAAUAUUGCAGCCUUCCCUAUUUUAACUUUUAUGUACGUUUAAAGUUUAUGUAGAUUGCAUUAUUGUUUUCUUUUUGCUGUAAAUCAUUUGUUUUUAUCUAUUGAAUACUUCUCUUGGUCGGUAAUUUUGCCCAAUUAUGGGUCAUAACGUUUUGUUGUGUCAAGAAAUUGAAAUGAAUCGGUGAGUUGAAGGUUUUAAGUUGAUUUUUUUUUCUUUUUCUUUUUUUCGGUGUUUUGAAGGAGUUACCGCUAUUAAUCAGAGACGUUUAGUAUGAAAAAAUUACUCACUUAUGCAUUGUGUUUGCAAUUGCUGAAUUUUUUACAUUCUGUGAGUAACACAGUUAUUUUGAAUGGUAGAAAGAAAUGAUGUGUGCGUAUCUAUCAGGCUUUUGUCAGAAGCAGCUACUUCAUUUCAUAUUAUUCACUUCAAUUGGCAUUGUUUUAUUUAAUUUUGAGGUUUGUGCCAUGUUUUGCUUCUCAAUUACAUGAUUCGGGCUGACUAUGUUUUUAUUAAAAUUUGUUUUAAAUAAUUUUUUAUUGUGGAUCAAACUUAAUUUUAUUUCAAUGAUGACUCACACAAUCAGUGAAGAAGAGUUGACUUCUUUUGAAUAUGUAAAGUUGUAACUAUUUUUUGUUGUCUACUGAAGUUGAUAUUGAUUAAACCAGUUGUUACUUUUCCCUAAAAACAUGUUAGUCUUUCAUAUAUCUCUUCUGAACCGCUAUCUCUUUAUUUCAAAUGAACAUUAGUCUAAAAGUAAGUUUGAGUAUUCCUGUUUUGGAUCAGUGAGAAGCUAGUAUAAAAGUGUACUUCAGAUUUUUAAAAAUAUUUAGGAUUUGCCCCCCCCCCCUUCCUCCAAAGAAAACAUGUCUGAUUGCUUUUUAUU